UACGUAGGGUGCAAGCGUUAAUCGGAAUUACUGGGCGUAAAGCGCACGUAGGCGGCUAUUCAAGUCGGGGGUGAAAGCCCGGGGCUCAACCCCGGAACUGCCCUCGAAACUAGGUAGCUAGAAUCUUGGAGAGGUCAGUGGAAUUCCGAGUGUAGAGGUGAAAUUCGUAGAUAUUCGGAAGAACACCAGUGGCGAAGGCGACUGACUGGACAAGUAUUGACGCUGAGGUGCGAAAGCGUGGGGGAGCAA
rnacentral:rRNA from 1 species